GAAAUGCGAUAAGUAAUGUGAAUUGCAGAAUUCAGUGAAUCAUCGAAUCUUUGAACGCACAUUGCGCCCGCCAGUACUCUGGCGGGCAUGCCUGUUCGAGCGUCAUUUCAACCCUCAAGCCCUGCUUGGUGUUGGGGCCCUACGGCUGCCGUAGGCCCUGAAAGGAAGUGGCGGGCUCGCUGCAACUCCGAGCGUAGUAGAAUGCUAUCUCGCUAGGGAGGCUGCGGCGGCGCUCCGGCCGUUAAAGACCCAUCUUUAACCCAAGGUUGACCUCGGAUCAGGUAGGAAUACCCGCUGAACUUAA
rnacentral:misc_RNA from 1 species